rnacentral:RNase_P_RNA from 1 species
UCAGGGGAUCGGGCGGCCGCGGCUUUUGCCGAGGAAAGUCCGGGCUCCAUGGAAAGACGGUGCCGGGUAACGCCCGGCGGCCCUUUUGGGUCAGGGACAGUGCCACAGAAAGCGAUCCGCCGAUCUUCGGGUCGGUAAGGGCGAACGGGUGCGGCAAGAGCGCACCGCGCGACCGGCAACGGAAGCGGCACGGCAAACCCCACCGGGAGCAAGACCGAAUAGGGGCGGCAUAUGGGCUCUUUCCGGCCCGUCGCCCGGGUUGGUUGCUAGAGAUGCGGGGCGACCCGCAUCCCAGAUGAAUGGUCGCCCAUCCCUUAUAGGGUGGACAGAACCCGGCUUACAGAUCCCCUGGCCCU